CGUCUCUCCCCUAUGAAGAAGCCCUUUCUUUUUCCUCUUUUUUUCCCCCAUUCCCGAUGUUUGUUUACUCAUCCAAGUCUCUAGCUUGAGGAUCAUUUGUGGCUUCUUCUUCUUCUUCUUCUUCUUCUUCGAGCAUAUUAUGAGUUGGCGGUUCUGGGUCAGUGACUGGGUGCUCAGGUGAUCAUACUUAGAAAGGUAUGUCAUGUUCGUGGCAAAUUUUGUUUGGUCUCAAAGUGAAUCACGAGUCUUAGUAUUUAUCCCUUCUCUUCAUGCCGGAGUCUAGUUCAACGAGCUCUUGAGUUGAGAGUCUUUUGAGAGCGAAGUGAUGCUCGAGAAUUCUAAGUAUGUUCUUUCCAACCAAUUCUCAAUUUGAUUGCCUUCGGUUUUGGAGACUGCGGAAGAUGAUCAGAUGACGCUUGAGGCGCCAGAUUAAUCCGCACUGAUGACCCAAGUCAAAUUCAUACCAGGUUGAAUCGCCAGCUCGUUGACUAGCGAUUUAACCGGGGGUUUGUUGCUUAACUGGUUUAAUUAGCAACCCAGCCCAGUUCUAUGGCCAGUUCGAUCGCCGGGCCGGCCCAACCUAUGGCUGAUAGGUAGCUUAAUGCCUUUAAGGACCAGGCAAGCUACUUUUUCCCCCGGUUUGGUCAGUCAAUUAAAUGUCUUUCCCAAUUUGGCUUCUUAUAGUUCACAAAAUUCAUAACAAUCUGCAGGUACUAUGGAUUUCAGAACAAGCCAUCAGCCAGCUAAUAACAUCAGCAAGAUCCAGGGAAAUAUGGCACCUGGUUUCAAAACAAAUUUUCAGCCUACUUUUUCCAUUCUCAGCUACAAAAAAAGAAUUUCUACCUCUUCAGUCCU